UCCGUUCCGUCGAAGACUUGCCUCGCCGCAUACCUCGCCUCCGAUCCGAUCCCCCCCCAAACCCUAACCCUAGCUUCCUCCACUCCCAUGGCUGAGGAACCCUCCCCCUCCCCCUCCUCCUCCUGCGCCAAGCACCACCGCUCUCCCGACCCCGCCGACCCCGCCGCCUCUCCUAAGCGUCGCCGCAGGCACCACCGCCGCCGCCGCGACGUGGAUGACGACGACGAGUCUCCGCUCGCCGACGCGGACAGGCCGCCGGCCGCCGAAGACGUCGAGGAGGGCGAGAUUCUGGACGACGCCAUGGAUGUCGACGCCGUUCCAGAUGCUGCUCCGCAACUUUCUUCUGGUAAUCAUGCCCAUAUGAACUCAGAUGCUGAUGCAACCGUGCUGCAUGCUUCUCGCUUGCCUACUCAUUCAUCCUCAAGGGACGAAACCAAGUCAAAUCACACCGCCCAUGAGCCUGAGAGUGGAGGCGAUGCAGAUGAUACCAAAGGGGAUAGACAAAGUCAAAGGGUGCCAAAAUCACCACUAUUGACAAGGGAGAAAGAAAGGAAGCACAAAGAUGAGCACCGCAAAUCGUAUCCUAAAGAUUCACAUUCCAAAGAGCAGUCUAGAAGAUCCCCUUCAAGGCACCAUAGCAGUCAAGAUCAUGCCAGGCAUCACUCAAGGUCUAGAGAUACUGGUGCUGAAGCUAAUGGUUCGCGGGCAAGUACAAGGGAAGAUUCUGACCGUGACAGCAACGGCAGAAAUAGUAAGCAUGGUAGGCAUGCAACCAGGAGUCGAGAUAAUGAGACAGAAAGGAGCAGCAGCUAUGCUGUUCGUGAUGAGGCGUAUGAUGAGCGGGAAAGAUAUAAGCAUGAAAGAAGGCAUAGAAGCAACCCAGUUGAUAGAGACAAAGUGGAUUUGCAUGAACUAACUCACAGGGAUAGAGAAAGGAGCAGCAGUCGCAGUAGAUCUGAUCGUAGGGAGAGUGCACAUCACAUUCGUGAUGAAAGCAGGGAGAGUGAAAGGCGGAGUAGUAGUUCAAGGCAUAAAGAUAAUGAGAGAAGGGAUAGAAGUAAGGAUCGCUAUAAAGAAUCUGACAAGGUUGACAGUGGACAUGAAAGGGACAAAACAAGAGAUGAUAGAGACAGGGGACGACAUAAGGAUUUGGAAAGUAGAAAGCGGAGAAAUGGAGAAGCAAAGGACAGGGAUGACAGGCACAAGGAUUCUACACGCUCAAAAUACAGUACUUCUGAUAGUCAUAAACACCGCUCAAGAUCCAGGGAGAGAGGUAGAGAUGCUGAACGUAGAGGCCAGAGAUCUGAAGAGCUGAAGGAGAAUACUUUCAGGGAGGAGGAUGAAGAGGAGUACCAAGAGAAAAUUGAACAGCAGUUAGCAAUGCAGGAAGAAGAGGACCCUGAAAAAAUUAAGGAGGAAGCAAGGAGGAGGAAAGAAGCUAUUAUGGCAAAAUACAGGCAGCAACAAUUGCAGAAGCAGCAGCUGGAAUCUUUACCUAGAAGUAAUGAUGAAGAAGAAGUGGAAAUGAACAGAGGUGAUAAUGCAGAUCUGAAAGGUGAUAACGAUAGCAGAUUUGUGGCUAGCGAGGAAGCUGAAAAUAAGCAUGAUUCUUCAGAUGCAAUUGUUGGUGAAACAGACUUCACUGUGGGAAAGUCUCCUGCUCACAAUGAUGGUGCAGGAACUUUGGGUAAUCAGAGAACAACUGGUGUUUCAGGUCUUGGAGAGGGCACUCCAAAGAGUGAGAGAUCGGCGGAUAUGUUUUGUGAUGACAUUUUUGGAGAAUCACCUGCUGGCAUCCGGAAAUUGGGCAAGGAUGAUGGUUUGCGCAUCGAGAAAAAUGCUCUUCAUGACAACUGGGAUGAUGCCGAGGGGUACUAUACUUACCGUUUUGGGGAAUUGCUGGAUGGGCGCUAUGAGAUUACAGCAGCACAUGGAAAGGGAGUGUUUUCAACAGUUGUCCGAGCAAAAGAUCUUAAAGCUGGGAAGGAUGAUCCCGAAGAGGUUGCUAUUAAGAUUAUUCGCAACAAUGAGACAAUGUACAAGGCUGGUAAGCAAGAGGUUUCAAUAUUAGAAAAACUGGCAAGUGCGGAUCGUGAAGACAGGCGCCACUGCGUGCGGUUUAUUUCUAGUUUCAUGUAUAGGAACCAUCUUUGCUUAGUUUUUGAAUCUCUAAAUAUGAAUCUUCGUGAGGUACUAAAGAAAUUUGGUCGCAAUAUCGGACUUAAACUAACUGCUGUGAGGGCAUAUUCAAAGCAGCUUUUCAUCGCCCUGAAGCAUCUGAAAAACUGCAAAGUGCUGCACUGUGAUAUAAAGCCAGAUAAUAUGCUGGUGAAUGAGGCUAAGAAUGUGCUGAAGCUCUGUGAUUUUGGCAAUGCAAUGCUUGCUGGAAUGAACGAGGUUACACCUUAUCUUGUGAGCCGUUUCUAUCGUGCACCUGAGAUAAUUCUUGGGUUACCCUACGACCACCCAUUAGACAUGUGGUCAGUUGGCUGCUGUCUAUAUGAACUUUACACCGGAAAAGUCCUAUUUCCAGGUCCAUCAAAUAAUGACAUGCUUCGGCUUCAUAUGGAACUGAAGGGCCCCUUCCCCAAGAAAAUGCUUCGAAAGGGUGCCUUUACGAUGCAACAUUUUGACCAAGAUCUCAACUUUCAUGCCACUGAGGAGGAUCCUGUGACUAAAAAGGCUGUGACAAGGAUGAUUUUGAACAUUAAGCCAAAGGAUAUUGGUUCCUUGAUUUCAAACUUCCCUGGCGAGGAUCCAAAAAUGCUAUCCAACUUUAAAGAUCUUCUUGAAAAAAUAUUUGUCUUAGAUCCAGAAAAGAGGAUAACCAUAUCACAAGCACUUAGCCAUCCAUUUAUCACUGGCAAGUGAAAAGAUGUUGAUUACUCUUGGCAUUGCUAACUUAGCAUACCUUGUAAACUACAUUUUGGGUCGCUCUUGUCUAAUCAUUGGCAUUUCUGUCUUGUGUCCUCGGAGCUAUGAGAUCAGAGUAUGUGGGCGAAGCUCGGAAAUAUGGAAGAGAUGGCUGUCUUACAGACCUUGGUGCAUGCAGUUAUCAUUUGGAUAUGUUCUGUUGCUUGAAUUCUGCCAGGGCCUCUGCUGUGAAAGUGCACAUUUUGUAUGCUAAAGGGCCAACAUAAGAAGGUACCCUGAUUGAUAUCUGGGUAACUAAGUAGUUUGCACCCAUGAGUGAUACAUUCUCUUUUGACGACAUGAUUUUUUGAUUUAAGUUGUCAAGAUGAGUCAGCAUGUGACACUGAAUUGAUUUUUUAAUAUGAAUGUGCAUAUGACCUCUUCCAUAGUACUACAUAUAUGUUCCGAUCUUCUUUUAUUGGAUGGAUGUUUUUUCUUUUGAAAUUUCAUAGGUCACUGCCUGUUUGUCUUUUGAUAUUUUGUAUGAAUCGAUACAUUAUGCUUACCUUCUCUUACAUUUGUUAGCUUCACUGAAGUGUGGUUCUAGGAAGCCUUUUUUUUAUGUAUUUGCACUUAUAUGUGGAACAUCAAUUGAAAAUUUUAUUUUGCUUUUAUGUUACUGAGGCCCUGGGAUGGAGAAUAGCUGGUUGCGCUGCUUACACUAGCCCCCCUAUGACGGUAAAUUCUUCAACUCUGUAGAUACACCAGCCUUUUAACAGUGCAGAUAUUUUGAAUUAUAUCCCUAAUAGAUAUCCAACUUUACUUUAUUUUUCAUAUAUAUGCAUCCAUUAAAUAUAGCCUUAACUAUAGUAAUUAGAGGGUAGUAUAAUUGUUUCAAUGCCAUCUUGUUCUAUGUGCAAGCUGAAAAUACACUAUAAACAUGGAUGUAGCAGUUCAUGUGUACAUUUUUGGGACCUUUCCAUGUGUAUGUGGUACAUUGUGAUACACGUCGUUAACUCAGUGGAAACUUGGGUGGGUGGUUUGAUAAAUUUGUUUAUUCUGAGAUUAAAAAUUUGAAAUUUGCUUGAUUUCUUUCUCUUGUUGUGCAAGAAUACUUGACUAGGAGGGUAGGCCUUACAAAUAAGAGCUGUUACUAGUAAUCCACGGAUCCACCUAGUUCCUGGGUCCAAAGCCAAUCAAAAUUAUUGGCCUACUUUUAGGUCCGAUGGGUGCAUACAGGAGCAGGAUGAAAAGGUGAUAAUUCCUCCAUCCCAAAAUAUAAGGCGCAAUCACUUUUUCUCCAUGUCUCAUAAUAUAAGGCGUGCAUGCAUUUGUGAUGGUUGCAUGCAUCAAACCUGAAACCCCCAAUCACACUACUUGCAUGCAUCGAAGUGAUCCAACCGAGGAGGUGAUUAAAUUCGUUUUUGGUCUUUGCAUUUGUGAUGGUUGUGCCUUAUAUUUUGGGAUGGAGGGAGUAUUUAAUUGCGUUAUGGGUCCCACUUGUGACUUGUAAACAGUGGAAUGAUAAAAACAAUUAUGGUUCCAUCGCUAAUCUGGCCGUUUCCAUCCCAGGUCCCAGCUGCACAUUGGGGUUAAUUCUAGGAUUAAGCACUUACACUUUAUACCAUGUGCAGUGUUUAGCUGUUUCUUGACUCGGAAUAUUUUUGAAUAAUUAAAAACUGCUGGUCUGGUGAUAGUUAACAACUGCUAUAUAACUUUAGAUUAACUUCAAGUUAAGUUAGCUAAUAAUAACUGGGUAAAAGUUUAUGGGAAUGAUUGGGUUUCACCAUUUUGUCUAUAUUGGUAUAUUCUGCUGUCAAAUCUAAUUGUUUUCCAUUCUAUGAAAUAGUACUUCUAUGUUGUUAAGUAUGCAACCUGACAAAGGAUUGCUUGAGUGAAAUUCCUUACACAGCCCCUAAUUUUCUGAGUAAUUUGUUACUUUGUAAAUCUUGCUAUUAUAGCUUCUAUCAGGAACAUUACAACUUACAUCAAGAAGAAUUUUUUUUUUGCUCGUUCUUUGACUUUCCAAACAAAUAAAUCAAAUUUCGGAAUACUAUAUCAUGUUUGAUUUCUGCAAUUCUCUGCAUGCAAAAAACACCCAUUGAGAAUGUAAAAAUUCACAUAUCAUAAUAUUUUGACUUGUCACAUCUUUUAUUACUUCCCUUCAGAGGAGUAUUUUGCAUAAGCCUAAGGUAUCCGUAUUAGACAAUGCCAGUGAUAAACCUGAGUAGUUUAUCUGGAUGAAUAUUAUUCUACUUUCCAUUUCUCACUGAUGUGCUAUCCACGAAUCUGUUUGACUGUGCCCUCAUCACUUGAAGAGUUAAGGCCACGAAUUUCCCCUUGUUCAUUUUAUAAUAUAUAUUUCAGCACUAACAUCGGUUAUGUGGGCAAACAUUCACGUCUCAAAAUAUGGCAUUAAACUUGUAAUUGCGUUGAGAACCUAUGAAGAGGGUGAUUACUGGCAAAUUUUGUUUGAGGAAACUAUUGCAUAUUAUUGUUAUUAUGCUUGAAUGGAUGAAUGUAUUGAAUUGGUGAUUUCUUGUGA